GAUGAACGCUGGCGGCGUGCCUAAUACAUGCAAGUCGAGCGAACGGACGAGAAGCUUGCUUCUCUGAUGUUAGCGGCGGACGGGUGAGUAACACGUGGAUAACCUACCUAUAAGACUGGGAUAACUUCGGGAAACCGUGGCUAAUACCGGAUAAUAUUUUGAACCGCAUGGUUCAAAAGUGAAAGACGGUCUUGCUGUCACUUAUAGAUGGAUCCGCGCUGCAUUAGCUAGUUGGUAAGGUAACGGCUUACCAAGGCAACGAUGCAUAGCCGACCUGAGAGGGUGAUCGGCCACACCGGAACUGAGACACGGUCCAGACUCCUACGGGAGGCAGCAGUAGGGAAUCUUCCGCAAUGGGCGAAAGCCUGACGGAGCAACGCCGCGUGAGUGAUGAAGGUCUUCGGAUCGUAAAACUCUGUUAUUAGGGAAGAACAUAUGUGUAAGUAACUGUGCACAUCUUGACGGUACCUAAUCAGAAAGCCACGGCUAACUACGUG
rnacentral:rRNA from 1 species